GGCGUAUCACAUGUGAUUACAGUGACAUGAUUGAAAAGAGAUACGAGGAGGAGUAAAGAACCGGAGAGUAUAGCAUCUGUUACUUUCCCUUCUCUUCUUCUCCCCCUUCUUGACACUUCUCUGUUGAGGAGAGCAAGGCAUUUGCCGUGAUAAGGUGGCAUUGCUGCUGCUAAGGCCAACCCAACCCUUGCAAGCAAUCCCAAAAGCAAAAUUCAAAUAUUCAUGAUAUGAUUAUGAGUGAAUGAAAGCGAUA
rnacentral:misc_RNA from 1 species